CUCUGAGAUCUUUGAUGCUUGAACGUUUGACUCGUCGGAGUCGUCAACAAGUGUUCGUACUCGUUCAAAACCGCAUCCAUGUUUUUCGAACAGCUAGCAAAAGGAAUCGUUCUAAUCUUGUAAGGCGGACAGUGACAAGAAGGACAGUGUUGCACCUGAUCUUUUGUUCUUCUACGCCUCCUUCCAAAUUCCGAUGGCCCCACCUCAGUCCAUGGCUGGUUACACUUUAAACAACACUUGUGUUUCAAAUCGUGAUGCGAUUCACCCUGUUUUCGUCGAACGUCGUGGUAUUUCUGCACCGGGUAGCAUUCCUCAGUCUCCUAAACAGGCGUCAUUGAAUUAAUUAUUUUUAAUUAUUAAUUAAGACCGUAUUGACUAUGAUCGUCUAAUGACGACCGAUACGUACAUCGAAAAAUCAAUCCUCAAACGAGUGACUUUUUUUAAACGGGAUAAAACAUUUUGAAAUUAAUGAUUUUAAUUCUUUAAAAGGAUGAAAUAAAAGGUUCAUUCAAGUAGGAGCGGACCAUUUCUUCGAUCGUAUCGUUUACAUACAUUCGAAUUACAAUGCAAUAAAUAUCGUAUCGUGAUAAUGGGAUAGCAUAUAUGAGUGAAAUGGCAACAUUUGCAUUUAAGGGUUAAUUAAUGAGUAAACCCUAACCGUUUCUGUAUCUGGUCGUUCCAUAAUCUUGCUGACGUCAGAAUCUCCCGUGGAAUUCGCAUCUGCCCACGUCCCGGACAACCCGGAUUCCCAUAAGAUCAAGUUCACCUUCGUUCAUAAUAAGAUCUGCUGUUCUGUUUAAUGUUGUUCUUCCAUCGAAGAAAAUUGACGAAAGAGAAAAAGGGAAGAAAUACAGAGAAGGUAAAGUUCGUGUUCUGAUAUAAAAAGCACGGAACGUGUGUUAUAAAAAAAAAAAAAAAAAAGAAUUGACUUGCACUGUCAUCUCUGAAAUCUAGCGCUAAAGUAGGCACUGGAAAAAUGUGUAAUAUUUAAAAAUUUGUAAUAUUCGCGAUAAACACUGCGAGUAAAGGGGAAGAUGGAGAAUUGUUUUUGAAAUAAACUUUUUUAUACUGCAAA